rnacentral:rRNA from 1 species
AUUGAACGCUGGCGGAAUGCUUUACACAUGCAAGUCGAACGGCAGCACGGGGCAACCUGGUGGCGAGUGGCGAACGGGUGAGUAAUACAUCGGAACGUGCCCAAUCGUGGGGGAUAACGUAGCGAAAGUUACGCUAAUACCGCAUACGAUCUACGGAUGAAAGCGGGGGAUCGCAAGACCUCGCGCGAAUGGAGCGGCCGAUGUCAGAUUAGGUAGUUGGUGGGGUAAAGGCUCACCAAGCCAACGAUCUGUAGCUGGUCUGAGAGGACGACCAGCCACACUGGAACUGAGACACGGUCCAGACUCCUACGGGAGGCAGCAGUGGGGAAUUUUGGACAAUGGGCGCAAGCCUGAUCCAGCCAUUCCGCGUGCAGGAUGAAGGCCUCGGUU